rnacentral:rRNA from 1 species
UAGUGGCCAUUAAUUCAAAUUGAAUUCCCCGAGCUUAACUUGGAANUGCAUUCGAUACUGGUUGGCUAGAGUAUGGGAGAGGAUGGUAGAAUUCCAGGUGUAGCGGUGAAAUGNGUAGAGAUCUGGAGGNAUACCGAUGGCGAAGGCAGCCAUCUGGCNUAAUACUGACACUGAGGUGCGAAAGCAUGGGGAGCAAACAGGAUUAGAUACCCUGGUAGUCCAUGCCGUAAACGAUGUCUACUAGCCGUUGGGGCCUUUGAGGCUUUAGUGGCGCAGCUAACGCGAUAAGUAGACCGCCUGGGGAGUACGGUCGCAAGACUAAAACUCAAAUGAAUUGACGGGGGCCCGCACAAGCGGU